GAUGAACGCUGGCGGCGUGCCUAAUACAUGCAAGUCGUGCGAACAGAUAAGUAGCUUGCUCCUUUGACGUUAGCGGCGUACGUGUGAGUAACACGUGGGUAACCUAACUUUAAGACUGGAAUAGCUCCGUGAAACCAGGGCUAAUUCCGUAUAACUUUUAGAACCUCAUGGUUCUAAAGUGCAAGCUGUUUUUACUAUCCCUUAUACAUGUACCCGCGCCGUAUGAGCUAGUUGGGAAGGUAACGGCUUACCAAGGCAACGAUACGUAGCCGACCUGGGAAGGUGAACGGCCCCACUGGGACUGAGAGACGGUCCAGACUCCGACGGGAGGCCGCAGUAGGGAAUCGACCGAGAUGGGCGGAAGACUGACGGAGCAACGCCAGGUGAGUGAUGAAGGUCUUCGGGUGGUAAAACUCCGUUAUUAUGGAAGAACAAAUGUGUAAGGAACUGUGCACGUCUUGACGGUACCUAAACAGAAAGCAACGGCUAACUACGUG
rnacentral:rRNA from 1 species